rnacentral:rRNA from 1 species
UACAUGGGGUGCGAGGUUUAUUCGGAAUGAUUGGGCGUAAAGCGUUCGUAGGUGGUUUCACGAAGUCCACUGUCAAAGAUCAGGGCUUAACCUUGGGCAGGCAGUGGAAACUCGGAAACUCGAGUCAGGUGGGGGCUGAAGGAAUCAACAGUGUAACAGUGAAAUGUGUAGAUAUUGUUGAGAACACCGAUGGAGAAAUCAUUCAGCUGGGCCAUGACUGACACUGAGGGACGACAGCUAGGGGA